rnacentral:pre_miRNA from 1 species
AAAGUACUCCCUCUGUCCCAAAAUUCUUGUCUUAGAUUUGUCUAGAUACGGAUGUAUCAAGUCACAUUUUAGUAUUAGAUACAUCCGUAUCUAGACAAAUCUAAGACAAUAAUUUUGGGACAGAGGGAGUAGUUG